AUUGAACGCUGGCGGCAUGCUUUACACAUGCAAGUCGAACGGCAGCACGAAAGAGCUUGCUCUUUUGGUGGCGAGUGGCGAACGGGUGAGUAAUGCAUCGGAACGUACCGAGUAAUGGGGGAUAACUGUCCGAAAGGAUAGCUAAUACCGCAUACGCUUUGAGAAGGAAAGUGGGGGCUCUUCGGACCUCACGUUAUUCGAGCGGCCGAUGUCUGACUAGCUAGUUGGUGGGGUAAAGGCCUACCAAGGCGACGAUCAGUAGCGGGUCUGAGAGGAUGAUCCGCCACACUGGGACUGAGACACGGCCCAGACUCCUACGGGAGGCAGCAGUGGGGAAUUUUGGACAAUGGGCGCAAGCCUGAUCCAGCCAUGCCGCGUGUCUGAAGAAGGCCUUCGGGUUGUAAAGGACUUUUGUUAGGGAAGAAAAGGAUAGUGUUAAUACCAUUAUCUGCUGACGGUACCUAAAGAAUAAGCACCGGCUAACUACGUG
rnacentral:rRNA from 1 species